rnacentral:rRNA from 1 species
AUUGAACGCUGGCGGCAUGCUUUACACAUGCAAGUCGAACGGCAGCGGGGAGUAGCUUGCUUCUCUGCCGGCGAGUGGAGAACGGGUGAGUAAUACAUCGGAACGUGUCGAGAAGAGGGGGAUAACCACCCGAAAGGGUGGCUAAUACCGCAUAAAUUCUGAGGAAGAAAGCUGGGGACCUAGGAAUAGGCCUAGCGCUUUUUGAGCGGCCGAUGUCGGAUUAGCUAGUUGGUGAGGUAAAGGCUCACCAAGGCGAAGAUCUGUAGCGGGUCUGAGAGGAUGAUCCGCCACACUGGGACUGAGACACGGCCCAGACUCCUACGGGAGGCAGCAGUGGGGAAUUUUGGACAAUGGGGGCAAUCCUGCUCCAGCCAUGCCGCGUGGAUGAAGAAGGCCUUAGGGUUGUAAAGUACUUUUGUUAGGGAAGAAAAGUCAGCUGUGAAUAAUGGCUGAUACUGACGGUACCUAAAGAAUAAGCACCGGCUAACUACGUG